rnacentral:rRNA from 1 species
UACGAAGGGGGCUAGCGUUGCUCGGAAUCACUGGGCGUAAAGGGUGCGUAGGCGGGUCUUUAAGUCAGGGGUGAAAUCCUGGAGCUCAACUCCAGAACUGCCUUUGAUACUGAAGAUCUUGAGUUCGGGAGAGGUGAGUGGAACUGCGAGUGUAGAGGUGAAAUUCGUAGAUAUUCGCAAGAACACCCGUGGCGAAGGCGGCUCUCUGGGACGGUACUGACGCUGAGACGCGAGAGCGUGGGGAGCGAACAGG